GUGCUUGCUUUGGCAGCAUGUAUACUAAAAUUGGAACAAUAUAGAGAAGAUUAACAUGGCCCCUGAGCAAGGAUGACACGCAGAGAUUACUGACCAAUGUUU